rnacentral:rRNA from 1 species
GACGAACGCUGGCGGCGUGCUUAACACAUGCAAGUCGAACGGAAAGGCCUCUUUCGGGGGGUACUCGAGUGGCGAACGGGUGAGUAACACGUGAGUAACCUGCCCUUGACUUUGGGAUAACUUCAGGAAACUGGGGCUAAUACCGGAUAGGAGCUCCUGCUGCAUGGUGGGGGUUGGAAAGUUUCGGCGGUUGGGGAUGGACUCGCGGCUUAUCAGCUUGUUGGUGGGGUAGUGGCUUACCAAGGCUUUGACGGGUAGCCGGCCUGAGAGGGUGACCGGCCACAUUGGGACUGAGAUGCGGCCCAGACUCCUACGGGAGGCAGAAGUGGGGAAUAUUGCACAAUGGGUGGAAGCCUGAUGCAGCAACGCCGUGGGCGGGAUGACGGCCUUCGGGUUGUAAACCGCUUUCGCUCAUGACGAAGCUUUGUGUGACGGUAGUGGGUAAAGAAGCACCGGCUAACUACGUG